UUUGGUUGUUUUAAAUUUAUAGAUAAAGUUAUAUUAGAGUUGAUUUAGUUUUUAGUAAUGAAAAUUAAUGAAUUUUAAAAAUUAUAUAAUAAGUAAUGUAAAUGAUUUAAAGUAAUAUAGGAAUAAAUAUUAUAAUAAGAAGUUUUAAUUUAGUGUUCCUUUUGUAUUAGGAUUAAUUUAAAAUAAGGUUAUUUAAUGAUAUUAAUCUCGAAUUUAUAAGAUUUAUUUAAUUAUGAAAUUUAUUGUAGCAUAAAUAUUUUAAAUAAUUAAAUAGGGAAGAAAUUUUAUUCAAUUAUAAAGAUAUCUAGUUUUUAUAUAAAUAAAUUUAAUUUAGAUAGAAUUUAGUGAUUUGAUUUAAAUAUAUAGAUUAGAUUAUUAGUUUUAUUAAAAAUUUAUGGGAUAAACUAUAAGUUAAUUUAAAAUUUAAUUAUUAUUUAAUUUAGUUAGUAGUUAAAAAUAUUCAUAAAAUUUGAUUUAAUUUUUAAAAAGGAUUUAAUAAUUUAUAUAUAUAUAUAUAUAAAUUUUAAGAUUUUUUGUAAUUAAAUAAUUUAAAAAAAUAUAUAAAUAUUUUUAUUAAUAUUGAAUUAAAAGAAAUAAUGAUAAAAUUAGUAUAAUUAUUAAAUAGGAUUUAAAAUGGAUAUAAUAAUUAAUUAUAUAUAUAUAUAUUAGUAAUUCGGCAAAUUAAAUAAGUUCAAAUGUUUAUUAAAAACAUUGUUUUUUGAUUAUAAUUUAAAAUAUGUUCUGCUCAAUGAAUUUAAAAUUUAAAUGGCUGCAGUAAAUUGACUGUACAAAGGUAGCAUAAUAAUUUGUCUUUUUAAUGAAGACUGGUAUGAAUGAAUGAAUGAAAUUUAUACUUUCUUAUAAAUAGUAUUAGAAAUUGAAUUUUAAGUAAAAAUGCUUAAAUUAAUUUAUGGGACGAUAAGACCCUAUAGAAUUUUAUAUAAAUAAUUAAUUUUUAGUUGGAGUUAUAUUUUUUUAUUAAGAAUUUAUAUUUAAUUGGGAGGAUUAUUAAAUUAUAUAAACUUUAAUAGGAAAAAACAUUAAUUUAUGAUAAUAAAGAUUAUAUUUUUAUAAUUUAGAAUUAAUUACCUUAGGGAUAACAGCGUAAUAUUUUUAGAGAGAUCUUAUUAAUAAAAAUGUUUGCGACCUCGAUGUUGAAUUAAGAUUUAUUUUAAAUGUAGGGGUUUAAAAAUUUAGUCUGUUCGACUAUUAAAAUCUUACAUGAUUUGAGUUUAGACCGAUGUGAGUCAGGUCAGUUUCUAUCUAUAAAAAAUUGAAUUAUAUUUGUACGAAAGGACUUUAUAAUUGAAAAAUUUUUAUAUUUGUUUUAAUAAAAGUUAAAUUAUU
rnacentral:rRNA from 1 species